rnacentral:rRNA from 1 species
AAAUUGAAGAGUUUGAUCAUGGCUCAGAUUGAACGCUGGCGGCAGGCCUAACACAUGCAAGUCGAGCGGUAGCACAGAGAGCUUGCUCUCGGGUGACGAGCGGCGGACGGGUGAGUAAUGUCUGGGAAACUGCCUGAUGGAGGGGGAUAACUACUGGAAACGGUAGCUAAUACCGCAUAACGUCGCAAGACCAAAGUGGGGGACCUUCGGGCCUCAUGCCAUCAGAUGUGCCCAGAUGGGAUUAGCUAGUAGGUGGGGUAACGGCUCACCUAGGCGACGAUCCCUAGCUGGUCUGAGAGGAUGACCAGCCACACUGGAACUGAGACACGGUCCAGACUCCUACGGGAGGCAGCAGUGGGGAAUAUUGCACAAUGGGCGCAAGCCUGAUGCAGCCAUGCCGCGUGUGUGAAGAAGGCCUUCGGGUUGUAAAGCACUUUCAGCGGGGAGGAAGGCGAUAAGGUUAAUAACCUUGUCGAUUGACGUUACCCGCAGAAGAAGCACCGGCUAACUCCGUGCCAGCAGCCGCGGUAAUACGGAGGGUGCAAGCGUUAAUCGGAAUUACUGGGCGUAAAGCGCACGCAGGCGGUCUGUCAAGUCGGAUGUGAAAUCCCCGGGCUCAACCUGGGAACUGCAUUCGAAACUGGCAGGCUAGAGUCUUGUAGAGGGGGGUAGAAUUCCAGGUGUAGCGGUGAAAUGCGUAGAGAUCUGGAGGAAUACCGGUGGCGAAGGCGGCCCCCUGGACAAAGACUGACGCUCAGGUGCGAAAGCGUGGGGAGCAAACAGGAUUAGAUACCCUGGUAGUCCACGCCGUAAACGAUGUCGAUUUGGAGGUUGUGCCCUUGAGGCGUGGCUUCCGGAGCUAACGCGUUAAAUCGACCGCCUGGGGAGUACGGCCGCAAGGUUAAAACUCAAAUGAAUUGACGGGGGCCCGCACAAGCGGUGGAGCAUGUGGUUUAAUUCGAUGCAACGCGAAGAACCUUACCUGGUCUUGACAUCCACAGAACUUAGCAGAGAUGCUUUGGUGCCUUCGGGAACUGUGAGACAGGUGCUGCAUGGCUGUCGUCAGCUCGUGUUGUGAAAUGUUGGGUUAAGUCCCGCAACGAGCGCAACCCUUAUCCUUUGUUGCCAGCGGUUAGGCCGGGAACUCAAAGGAGACUGCCAGUGAUAAACUGGAGGAAGGUGGGGAUGACGUCAAGUCAUCAUGGCCCUUACGACCAGGGCUACACACGUGCUACAAUGGCAUAUACAAAGAGAAGCGACCUCGCGAGAGCAAGCGGACCUCAUAAAGUAUGUCGUAGUCCGGAUUGGAGUCUGCAACUCGACUCCAUGAAGUCGGAAUCGCUAGUAAUCGUAGAUCAGAAUGCUACGGUGAAUACGUUCCCGGGCCUUGUACACACCGCCCGUCACACCAUGGGAGUGGGUUGCAAAAGAAGUAGGUAGCUUAACCUUCGGGAGGGCGCUUACCACUUUGUGAUUCAUGACUGGGGUGAAGUCGUAACAAGGUAACCGUAGGGGAACCUGCGG